rnacentral:pre_miRNA from 1 species
GAUUUCAACUGAAAAAGUCAUCAACAAUAAAAUUGUAUAACUCAUCAAGAUCUAUAACUUCUAUUUUGGUCAUUUAUUCAUCCGAUAAAGUGAUUUGUAACAUUGUUCACAAAAUAUACAAUUUUAAGAAUAUGUUAUGAUCACUUUAUCGGAUGAAGAAAUGAUCAAAAUAGAAGUUAUAGAUCUUGAUGAGUUAUAAAACUUUAUUGUUGAUGACUUUUUCAGCUGAAAUC